rnacentral:rRNA from 1 species
AAACGGCGAAACUGCGAACGGCUCAUUAAAUCAGUUAUCGUAUAUUUGAUAGUACUUACUACAUGGAUAACCGUGGUAAUUCUAGAGCUAAUACAUGCUUAAAAUCCCGACUUCGGAAGGGAUGUAUUUAUUAGAUUAAAAACCAAUGCCCUUCGGGGCUCCCUGGUGAUUCAUAAUAACUUCUCGAAUCGCAUGGCCUUGCGCCGGCGAUGGUUCAUUCAAAUUUCUGCCCUAUCAACUUUCGACGGCUGGGUCUUGGCCAGCCGUGGUUACAACGGGUAACGGAGGGUUAGGGCUUGACCCCGGAGAGGGAGCCUGAGAAACGGCUACCACAUCCAAGGAAGGCAGCAGGCGCGCAAAUUACACAAUGCCGAUUCGGCGAUGUAGUGACAAUAAAUACUGAUACAGGGCUCUUUUGGGUCUUGUAAUUGGAAUGAGUACAAUUUAAAUCCCUUAACGAGGAACAAAUGGAGGNNNNNNNNNNNNNNNNNNNNNGCGGUAAUUCAGCUCCAGUAGCGUAUAUUAAAGUUGUUGCAGUUAAAAAGCUCGUAGUUGAACCUUGGGCCUGGCUGGCCGGUCUGCCUCACCGCAUGCACUGGUCCGGCCGNGGUCUUUCCCUCUGGGGAGCCGCAUGCCCUUCACUGGGUGUGUCGGGGAACCAGGACUUUUACUGUGAAAAAAUUAGAGUGUUCAAAGCAGGCCUAUGCUCGAAUACAUUAGCAUGGAAUAAUAGAAUAGGACGUCGCGGUUCUAUUUUGUUGGUUUCUAGGACCGCCGUAAUGAUUAAUAGGGACAGUCGGGGGCGUCCGUAUUCCAUCGUCAGAGGUGAAAUUCUUGGAUCGAUGGAAGACGAACUACUGCGAAAGCAUUCGCCAAGGAUGUUUUCAUUAAUCAGGAACGAAAGUUAGGGGAUCGAAAACGAUCAGAUACCGUUGUAGUCUUAACCAUAAACUAUGCCGACUAGGGAUGGGGUGAUGUUU